UCUGAAUUAAACUUUGAAUCUGCCGAACUUGAACUCUUUUUGUGCACUGAACUUUGGAUGUUAAUAUCUCCUAAACCAUGAAUCUUCUUGGGGUAAAUUCAACUGGAGAGUGUCACACUCUCUCCCUAGUUUUCAGAUUGACCCUUGGAGUUCCAAGUGGCCUUUUGUAAUGGGAGAUAUGAAUUUUUAAAGAAGGCCCAUUGACUUGGUUCUAAUCUGGAAAUCUGAAAUUUCCAGAUUUUUGCUUGUUAAGUACCCAUCUUUGAGUGGGCAUAUCUUGCUCGUUUGAACUCUGUUUCAUUCGAUUCAAAUUGGAGAAUGAUCCUUGAAAUGUCUAGUUUCCAGAAUGUCCUUUGGAGCCUCAUUUAGAGAUCCGAGGCAGAAUUGGUGUCUGUUGCAAAAUAGCCCCUUAAGAGCUCAAGUUGUUGAAUUAUUUUCUAAGUUUGAAAGUUGGUUUUAAAGGAUGUUUCAUGAAAUAUUAUGUAUAUGUGCAUGACGAGUUUGGGAUAUGUUUUGUGCAAAGUUUUCAUGAAAAUGAGUGAGUUAACCUAGAUAAGGCAUCAAGAUAAGCUAACGUAUGUAAAAUGCAUAAUCCCUAGUUCGAUUUUGCGUUGUAAGUCCGGGAAUAGGUUGACCUAGAGAUCCCAAGUAGACAACGGUUUUUGUUAUCCAUGAUAUGUGCUAAGAGUUAAGAACUCGUCUUGUAGGAAUUGGUUCACAGGACGGUACCACCGCAUAAGAUCACCUCUCUUCCACACUGAGGAUCAGGUUGAGCAGUGGCUGAUGGAGAUGAAGUGAAGAGCGGAGCUUUUGUCAUAGGUUAAAUGAAUGAACUCUUGGAUACAUGUCUUCAUACAUGUAAUCAGAUUAUGUUAUUCCGCUGCGUACUCUUAGGUUUAUGUUCUUUCAGUUAAGCCAGUUUUACCUGAACCUACAAGUCUGUUCGAGUCUUGUGACUAAACAUCAGGUGUAUUAUAAAUUUUCCCUUCUUUAAACAAAUUUUAGUUCGAUCCUCU